AAGGAAUGCAAAGAGAACUAGCUUGAAUAGGGCAGGAAUGGAAAAGAACCAACAAAAGGAAAAAAAAAACAGGAAGGGAAAAAUGUAAAGGAUGAAAAAGAGAAUCACAAAGGAAUGCAAAGAGAACUAGCUUGAAUAGGGCAGGAAUGGAAAAGAAACAACAAAAGGAAAAAAAAACAGUGGAAGGAAAAUAGAAAGGAGCAGUAAAGAAAAACAAAAUGGAAAGGGGAAAAGAAAAGAAGCAAAACUAGAAGGCAUAGCAAAGCAAUGAAAUACCGAGGAAAAGAAAAAACAGAAUGCCGUAUCAUGGCAAAGCAAAGGACUCAAAGAAAUUCAACAAGAAAAAAACACCAUCCAAAAUUGUUCAAAGAAAAAACAAAAUGACCAUAAGGAUACAAGCAAAGCCACCGACAGAAAAGCAAACAAGCAAAGAAGAAAGGAAACCAAAGCAAAGCGAGAAAACCAUGAAGCCAUGCAAAAUGCAAAGCAAAGGUAUGAAAGGAAAACCAAAGAGCAAAGCAAAGCACCAGAAAAACAAUAAAAAGAAAUGAAAGAAAAGGGACUGAAAACGAAAGGAAACUAACGAUAAGUCAUUCGAUAAGAAGAGAAAGGGGAAGGAAAAAAAGGAAUGCAAAGAAAUGAACUGGAAGGAAGAAAACCACAUUAAGGAAAUUAACAAUGGAAAGCGAAGCAAAACGAGCAGUACAGAAAUCUGAAUUAGAAUUAGAAGGCAGAGCAAAGCAAAGCAAGUAAGGGCAAGGCUAGAGGAAGGAGACAGGCAAGGGGACAAGGAUACGGGCAAGGAAAAGAAG
ensembl:lncRNA